rnacentral:rRNA from 1 species
AUUGAACGCUGGCGGCAUGCUUUACACAUGCAAGUCGAACGGCAGCGGGGAGGAGCUUGCUUCUCUGCCGGCGAGUGGCGAACGGGUGAGUAAUACAUCGGAACGUGUCGAGAAGAGGGGGAUAACCACCCGAAAGGGUGGCUAAUACCGCAUAAAUUCUGAGGAAGAAAGCUGGGGACCUAGGAAUAGGCCUAGCGCUUUUUGAGCGGCCGAUGUCGGAUUAGCUAGUUGGUGAGGUAAAGGCUCACCAAGGCGAAGAUCUGUAGCGGGUCUGAGAGGAUGAUCCGCCACACUGGGACUGAGACACGGCCCAGACUCCUACGGGAGGCAGCAGUGGGGAAUUUUGGACAAUGGGGGCAACCCUGAUCCAGCCAUGCCGCGUGUAUGAAGAAGGCCUUAGGGUUGUAAAGUACUUUUGUUAGGGAAGAAAAAUCAGCUGUGAAUAAUGGCUGAUACUGACGGUACCUAAAGAAUAAGCACCGGCUAACUACGUG